UUGAAAUUACGAAAUUUGCCAAUUUCCGUGGCGUAGUUGGAUGCACACCGGCACAGGUGCGAGGGGCUCUGGGUUUGAGUCCCGGGCAAGGCAUAGGGAAAUAAAGCAGCAGUUUCCCGCCCAGUACUAGUUUGUUACCGAGUGACAAGUUCAAAACUCCGCCGUAGGAAAUGUGAAAGCCUCCGGGAAGCGAGGAGUCACAUACAAGUUCCCAGCACCGGACUGAGUGACACCUAAGCAACUAAACAAAUAUAUCGUCGAGAUUGCGGCUGGGUACGACGGUACCUAUAGACAUGGACAUUGUUCAUCACACCGUGAUGGCCAUCAGCGCAGUUAUAAACAACAUGUGUCGGGAGCUUGCAGACACAUUCAUGACUAGCAUUAUAUCAACAUCAAUCCAGUGCUCUGUGAAGAGUCGAGGGCUGCAGCCGAUGGUAGCCAGUACUAGGAGAGAGACAAGUGAUGACACUCACCAUAGUCAUUACCAGUUCGGUACCGUUUGCGGACAUCAUCUGUCGACGAUGCACCCUAUUGUGUAACUGUGCAGCGCAUCAUAUUCCACCACAGUCUAAAGUAAUUCUUCCUUGCGAUGUGGUCAGGUAUGUCAACGAAAGAAUUCAUCCAGGGCCAUCUGAGGGCAUUGGGCCUGCAGAUCGCACAACCAUCUGUCCUGGACAUGCUGUGGCCAACGCUCGACGAGCUGUGGCAGCCCCAUAUCCUGGAUGUGAUGUGGGCAAUGUUUGCCGACUACCCAUGGCAACAGGUCGCACCCAACACCCGGACGCCUGCCGUCGGGCCACAGGCUUGGAGAUCCGCCACUUUUUUCGCCCAAUGGACAUCCACAAUCAACUACCUACAUGGAGUACAGAUGACCUUGAGGGUGAGCAACCAUUGGCACCAUCACUGCUACCUCAUCUCUGACAACAAAUCGGGUGCCAACUUGAGCGCUGAGCCCUGCUACGCAAGAUUGCUAUGGUGAUGCCCAUCGGAACGCAAAACCUUCGUCACUGUAGCAGAGGCUGCUAGGAAGGUAGGCAUGAAAAAUUGUGAACAGUCCGGAAUAUGUUAAAAUUUUCUGAGCUAUUUGUCUGCGCAGAUAUUCAAUUCUUGUAUGGCCUAAACGUUUGUGUGGACAGAUUGAAGUUCUUUAACAUCCCCACCUUAAUUAAAUGAAUCGGACAAUUUUCACUUCACACUGCUCUACUAUCUACCUUCCCGACAGAAAGUGGUAUUUUAGCCUCGGUGAGCUCAUAGAUUCUGGUUCAUACAGAUGCUAGGUCAGACACAUUUAAAAUAAACCUGCCCCUCGAAGAAAUGCCCUAAUUUGUUUCAGGAAAACCAAUCACUUAUCAAAUAUGUUUUAACCAUAAAAUUAAUCAAAAUUAUUGGUUUCCAAUCACAGAAGUGUGCAUGUUGACUACUAUUUUAAUCAAUACAUGCUCUUUUUAAGUAUUUAUUUCAUGUCUAAAUAGGUACUAACACAAUUUCUGAGUUACGAAAUAAUGUUAUUAAGGGAUUGUCCAUUAAUCACGCGAGGCUCGAAAAGGGGGGGGGGGGGGGGGGGGGUGUCGGGAAAAAUCACGAAAUAUCACAAGGGGGGAGGGGGGUGUAGAGAAAUAUCACGUGUAUUUAUUUUUUCGCGCGAUUUCUACUAAACCGAAAAGCGACGCGUGACCUUGACUUGCCGUAGCCUGGCAACAAUAUCCCCGCCCGCCACAACAUGAACCACCCGGCUCAGCUUGCCAGUCGCCAGUAAGACUGUGAUUUUGGCGCCGAAUACAUGCGUAAAUCGUUGCCACGAAUGUUAUGCUUUAAAACAAUGCGACGAUGUCUAAACUAGGAGAUCUGUAAAAGACCUAAUGUGUGUCUGGACAUUUUUAUCACUGUGCUUAAUUUUCCAGAAUUAAAUUAAACUAUACCUAUAUUUAAAAAUAAUAUUCUGAAAUUUUAAAAAUAUUUUGUACAAAAAAAUUACACGUGAUUUAUUUGGGGGGGGGGGGGGGGGGGGGGUUAGUCUAAAACCUCACCACAAAUCACUAGGGGGGAGGGGGGGUUAAAAAUUUGCUAAAAUAACAUCACGUGAUUAAUGGACGACCCCUAAGAUAGUUUUCUAUUAACAAGAAAGAUUAUUUAACCUGUGAAUGAAUUCCAGACACUGUUGUUUAUAAAACACAAGUAAUAUACAGGCAUUGGCACUUAAAAAGUGUGUAAAUCGAACAGUUACUUAGAGUAGCAGGUGUACUCUGAAAUUGGAAAAUUGAUAAAAUUUGUGCAAAAAUGUUUUAUUGUAUUAGACAACGAAGUUACAUGUGCGAGUGGAAAACAUCAGAUAUGUUUAGGGGUCUUGAGUUAUUAGUAUUUUUUGAUAGUUAGAAAACAAUACUUUCCACAUUAAUAAAAUCAAGAAAAUAGUGAUUCCUAUGCUAAUAAAUUACGCUGGUAUUCAAAAGUUCAAAGGUUGGUUAAUAGAUUUCAUGAAUUAAGUAAUUUAUUAACAUUAUAUGCUUGAUAUCAUUCUUAAU